AGGUGGGAGGCUUUGAAACCAGGAUUCCGGUCCCGGUGGAGCCGUCCUUGAAAUACCACCCUGUAUACCAUUUUGACCUAACUUGGACCCGUGAAUCCGGGCCGAAGACAGUGUUUGCUGGGCAGUUUGACUGGGGCGGUCUCCUCCUAAAAAGUAACGGAGGAGCGCAAAGGUUGGCUCAGCAUGGUUGGAAACCAUGUGUCGAGUGCAAGAGCAUAAGCCAGCUUUACUGUGAGUGCGACAGCACGAACAGUCUCGAAAGAGGGCUCUAGUGAUCCGGUAGUCCCGUGUGGAAGGGCUAUCGCUCAACGGAUAAAAGGUACGCCGGGGAUAACAGGCUGAUCGCUCCCGAGCGUCCAUAGCGGCGGAGCGGUUUGGCACCUCGAUGUCGGCUCGUCGCAUCCUGGGGCUGAAGGCGGUCCCAAGGGUUGGGCUGUUCGCC
rnacentral:rRNA from 16 species